rnacentral:rRNA from 1 species
AGCUUGUUGGUGAGGUAAAAGCUCACCAAGGCGACGAUCUGUAGCGGGUCUGCGAGGAUGAUCCGCCACUCUGGAACUGAGACACGGUCCAGACUCCUACGGGAGGCAGCAGUGGGGAAUUUUGGACAAUGGGGGCAACCCUGAUCCAGCCAUGCCGCGUGAGUGAAGAAGGCCUUCGGGUUGUAAAGCUCUUUCAGCCGGGAAGAAAACGCAUGGGUUAAUACCCUGUGUGGAUGACGGUACCGGAAUAAGAAGCACCGGCUAACUACGUGCCAGCAGCCGCGGUAAUACGUAGGGUGUGAGCGUUAAUCGGAAUUACUGGGCGUAAAGCGUGCGCAGGCGGUUUUGUAAGACAGGCGUGAAAUCCCCGGGCUUAACCUGGGAACUGCGUUUGUGACUGCAAGGCUAGAGUACGGCAGAGGGGGGUGGAAUUCCACGUGUAGCAGUGAAAUGCGUAGAGAUGUGGAGGAACACCAAUGGCGAAGGCAGCCCCCUGGGUCGAUACUGACGCUCAUGCACGAAAGCGUGGGUAGCAACAGGAUUAGAUACCCUGGUAGUCCACGCCCUAAACGAUGUCAACUAGGUGUUGGGAGGGUAAAACCUUUUAGUACCGGAGCUAACGCGUGAAGUUGACCGCCUGGGGAGUACGGCCGCAAGGUUAAAACUCAAAGGAAUUGACGGGGACCCGCACAAGCGGUGGAUGAUGUGGAUUAAUUCGAUGCAACGCGAAAAACCUUACCUACCCUUGACAUGCCAAGAACUUUCCAGAGAUGGAUUGGUGCCCGAAAGGGAACUUGGACACAGGUGCUGCAUGGCUGUCGUCAGCUCGUGUCGUGAGAUGUUGGGUUAAGUCCCGCAACGAGCGCAACCCUUGUCGUUAAUUGCCAUCAUUUAGUUGGGCACUUUAACGAGACUGCCGGUGACAAACCGGAGGAAGGUGGGGAUGACGUCAAGUCCUCAUGGCCCUUAUGGGUAGGGCUUCACACGUCAUACAAUGGUCGGUACAAAGGGUCGCCAAGCCGCGAGGUGGAGCCAAUCCCAGAAAGCCGAUCGUAGUCCGGAUCGCAGUCUGCAACUCGACUGCGUGAAGUCGGAAUCGCUAGUAAUCGUGGAUCAGAAUGUCACGGUGAAUACGUUCCCGGGUCUUGUACACACCGCCCGUCACACCAUGGGAGCGGGUUCCGCCAGAAGUAGGUAGCCUAACCGCAAGGAGGGCGCUUACCACGGCGGGGUUCGUGACUGGGGUGAAGUCGUAACAAGGUAGCCGUAGGGGACCUGCGGCUG